GACGAACGCUGGCGGCGUGCUUAACACAUGCAAGUCGAACGGAAAGGCCCUGCUUGCCGGGUGCUCGAGUGGCGAACGGGUGAGUAACACGUGGGUGAUCUGCCCCUUACUUUGGGAUAAGCCUGGGAAACUGGGUCUAAUACUGGAUAGGACCAUGCUGUAGGUGGUGUGGUGGAAAGAUUAGUUUCGGUAAGGGAUGGGCUCGCGGCCUAUCAGCUUGUUGGUGGGGUAAUGGCCUACCAAGGCGUCGACGGGUAGCCGGCCUGAGAGGGUGGACGGCCACAUUGGGACUGAGAUACGGCCCAGACUCCUACGGGAGGCAGCAGUGGGGAAUAUUGCACAAUGGGCGCAAGCCUGAUGCAGCGACGCCGCGUGGGGGAUGACGGCCUUCGGGUUGUAAACUCCUUUCAGCCAUGACGAAGCCCUUGUGGUGACGGUAGUGGUAGAAGAAGCACCGGCUAACUACGU
rnacentral:rRNA from 1 species